UACGUAGGGCGCAAGCGUUGUCCGGAAUCAUUGGGCGUAAAGAGCGUGUAGGCGGCCAGAUAGGUCAGCUGUGAAAACUCGGGGCUCAACCCCGAGACGUCGGUUGAAACCAUCUGGCUAGAGUCCGGAAGAGGAGUGUGGAAUUCCCGGUGUAGCGGUGAAAUGCGCAGAUAUCAGGAGGAACACCGGUGGCGAAGGCGGGACUCUGGGCCGAUACUGACGCUGAGGAGCGAAAGCGUGGGGAGCAAACAGG
rnacentral:rRNA from 1 species